rnacentral:rRNA from 1 species
UACGGAGGUCGCAAGCGUUGUUCGGAAUCACUGGGCGUAAAGCGCGUGUAGGCGGCUUGGUAAGUCGGGUGUGAAAGCCCGGGGCCUAACCCCGGAACUGCACUCGAAACUGCCUCGCUCGAGUCCCGGAGAGGAUGGUGGAAUUCCCGGUGUAGUGGUGAAAUACGUAGAUAUCGGGAGGAACACCAGCGGCGAAGGCGGCCAUCUGGACGGUGACUGACGCUGAGACGCGAAAGCGUGGGGAGCAAACAGG